rnacentral:RNase_P_RNA from 1 species
AUGGGCGAGGGAUGGCUGCUUUAUCUCCAGGUGAUAAAGAGGAAAGUCCGGACACCAGAAGGCAGCAUGCCACGUAAAAGAGAAGGGGAGAAGGGAAGAAGAAAACGCGUGGGAGUGUGGUACGUAAGUUCUGCACGACGGAAAGUGUCACAGAGAAUAGACAGCCAGCUUGCCGGGCUUGCUCGGCUUGUCUGGAAAUGGUGAAAAGGCGGGGUAAGAGCCCACCACCCCAAGCGUAAGCGAGGGGGUAUGAAAAACCCCAUGUGGUGCAAGACUAAAUAGGGAGGAUGGGUCGCCUGCCCGAUGGGGGGUCGUUUCCCCCUGGAAACUCCGGGUAUUAAGUCGCACCCGACCUUGGUCGGGGUCUUGUCCUACUAGAUAAGACAGAGAAAUGGUCAUCGCAACGGUAUCUUGGCUAUAGCUGAGGGCUGUUGUACAGAAUCCGGCUUACAACUCGUUCUUCCUU